CCGACGGGCGACCGCCCGCUCGGAUACUGACCCCGGUACCUGGUACGGCCGGGGCAG
rfam:Streptomyces phaeoluteigriseus strain DSM 41896 Scaffold_19, whole genome shotgun sequence.